rnacentral:tRNA from 1 species
CCAUCGGUGGUUCAGUGGUAGAAUGCUCGCCUGCCACACGGGCGGGCCCGGGUUCGAUUCCCGGCCGAUGCA